rnacentral:lncRNA from 1 species
UUACAGAUGUACCAUUAAAAGUAUGGAUGGUUAUCUGACAACUGUCACCCAGCUCAGCAGUAACUACUUUAUAGCUAUAUCCUAGCUCAUUUGCCAUGUAGGCAGCUAUUCUAUGAUCUUUGCACAGCUGGUCAUUUUGUUACAAUAACAUAAUAACCUAAUGUAUCUCCAACGGUCUAACAGAUCUCUAACGGCUUAACC